rnacentral:lncRNA from 10 species
GGGAUUACAGGCGUGAGCCACCGCGCCCAGCAGGAUGUUUAAAUGGGACUCCCUUCUCAGGGGAAGCCAAGGCCCUAGAGGCUGAGAACCAUGCAGUAGCACCUGGUACUGCUACAUCCUAAGAAAGGCACCAACUGCAAGGCCCUGCAGAGAGAUAGCAGGCUGUGAGCACUAGGCCCCGCCCAGCAUGACGCUGUAGACAGGGAGUGCAGGGAGACCAGGGGUGGCACUUGUUCUGGAGAUACUGGUGUACCACACAGUGUCUAGGCGGGAAAGAAGCUUCAGGGGGAGAGCUCAGGAGUUCGACCUGUGUUCCUUGGAGCUGGAGUUAAUCGCUACCGCAAAAUGUAAUAUACCACCAAACAACAACUAGUGGAUUCAUACACCACGUAGUAAAAGACAAGCCACGGUAGCAGGAGCAUUUGGACUCCCUCAGGUCAGUCUACAGGAGGACUGCUCAGCCUUCACCUCCCACACAACCAGCCUGCCAUUGCUCAUGUUUCCCACUAACAUGAGCCUUUGGGCAUCUCACAGGCAAAAGUGCCAGACAUGGCAUGGCUGCCUGGUGCACCAAGGGCCAGCAGCAGUACAGCAUCAGAUACUUCUCACACCAGCUCGAAGACCCAAAAGGACUUGCUGUCCCUGACCACUAAUGUCAGGCACACUUCUUUUGAUCAGUGCAUGGCUUCAGAAGAACUACAGCCAGCUCCCUCAUGGGUUCUUUGAGGAACCCUCAAAAGUUCUCUUUGAGAGGAAGAACCAAGAUUUGAUACCCACCAUCUAGAGGACCUUGAGAGUAGAUCACGGGUGCACCACUUCUGCAGAUUCUUGCUCUCCCUGGGCCCAACACCUUCUAACAGAGGGGUCAGAAACAACAAGCACCUGCAACAAGUUGAGAGCAAUUUGGAGAAAAGAGGAAAAGCCAGGCAUCCCAGCGCCAGCCCUCUGCCACUCCACCACAGAUCGUCCAAUCUGAAGCUGGCUGGAUGCGGGAGGGAGAGGUUUCCAACUGGUGGAGUGUCCAGAGUUUUGACUAUUGCACUGUAUUAGACUCGGUUAUUUAACUAGAGGUUCUAGUACCUUAAACAUGACCAGAAACAGGCAACAAAAGUAAAAAUAUACAAAUUGGAUUACAUCAAAAUUUAAGACUUCUGUGUACCAAAGUACACAUUCAACAGAGUGAAAAGGCAACCUAUGGAAUAGAAGAAGAUAUUUGCCAGUCAUAUAUCUGAAAAGGGGUUAAUACCCAGAAUACAUAAAGAAUUCCUACAACUCAACAAUAACGACAAGAGCAAAAUAACCCAAAUUUAAAAUGGACAAAAGAAUUAAAUAGACAUUUCUCCAAAGAUGAUAUACAGAUGGCCAACAAGCAUAUGAAAAGAUAUGCAACAUCACCAAUCAUUAGAAAAAUGCAAAUCAAAACUGCAAUGAGAUAUCAUCAUAUACCAUUUAGGAUGGCUACCACCCAAAACACAAUACAAAAUAAGUGUUCAUGAGAACGCGGGACAGUUGGAACCCUUGUACACUGUCAUUGGAAUGCAAGAUGGUGCAGCCCCUGUGGAAAAUGGCAUGAUGGUUCCUCAAAAAAUUCAAAGCAGAAUUACCAUAUGAUCCAACAAUCUCAUUUCCGGGUAUAUAUCCAAAAUAAUUGAAAGCAAGAUCUUGAAGAGAUGGUUGUAUACCCAUGUUCAUAGCAACACUAUUCACAAUUGCCAAGAGGUGGAAGCAACCCAGGUAUCCAUGCAUGAAUGAACGAAUAAACAAAAUAUGGUAUAUGCACACCACGGAAUAUUAUUCAGCCUUAAAAAUGAAGGAAAUUCUGACAAAUGCUACAAUAUGGAUAAAACUUGAAGGCAUCAUGUUAAGUGAAAUAAGCCACUCACAAAAAAGAUGACUACUAUAUGAUACCACUUAUAUGAGAUAUCUGGAGUAGUCAAAUUCAUAGAGACAGAAAGUAGAACGGUGAUUGCUGGGGCUGGAAGGGAGGAGAAACAGGAAUUUGUUGCUUAAUGUGUUUAGAGUUUCAGUUUUGCAAGAUGAAAAAAUUCUAGAGAUUGGUGGCACAAUAAUAUGAAUAUAUUUAACACUACUGAAUUGUACACUUAGAAAUUGUUAAGACGGUUAAAUUUUACAUUAUGAAUUUCACAGUGUUUUUAAAAAGUAACCAGAAAAGCUGUGGAAUCUGCCCAACAUUUCAUCCAAGAGGCAAAGAAACAAGUCCACAGAUUGGGCUUAAAGAGUCAGUGGAAGGAAAAAUAAGGUUGUGUCCUGCCUGCCUCCUCUCAAGUCCAGUUUGUUCAAUAAUCUAGUUCUGUAGAGCAUUGAGUUUCUAAAUAGAUAAUAUGACCGGGUUGCCUCCUUGCUUUGGUAAACUUUGGCAGCCAGCAGUAUCUUAGUGGGUCCCUGAAUUAUAACUGAAGCUACUGAUAGAAAAUAUGAAGUAAUGAUUUCACAUCUUUUAUACUGAUUUCAUUUAGGAAGGGUCUUGAGAAAUUUAAACACCUCCCCCAAAUGACAGGAAUGCAUAGCAUUUUGCACAACACUAUAUUGAAUUAAUUUAGUUGAAAGAGUUUUCACCCAUAAUUUAUCUUCAUAGAGUUACGUCUGGUUAUCUUGUUUUUAAAAAUCUCACAGAAAACAAGAAUGGGAUUUUAUAAAUAUAAAGUGGUGGUAGCUAAAAGAUUCUCCCAGAAAAAAAAGAU